rnacentral:rRNA from 1 species
GCUAAACGCGAAGAACCUUACCAGGCCUUGACAUGCACUAGACCGACUCUGAAAGGAGUCUUCCCUUCGGGGCUGGUGCACAGGUGCUGCAUGGCUGUCGUCAGCUCGUGUCGUGAGAUGUUGCGUUAAGUCGCGCAACGAGCGCAACCCCUGUCCUUAGUUGCCAUCAGGUAAAGCUGGGCACUCUAGGGAGACAAACCCUCUCUGAGGGUGGGAAGGUGGGGAUGACGUCAAGUCAGGAUGGCCCUUACGGCCUGGGCUGCACACGUGCUACAAUGCUCGGUACAGAGGGACGCAAGACCGCGAGGUGGAGCAAAUCCCAAAAACCGAGCCCAGUUCAGAUUGCAGUCUGCAACUCGACUGCAUGAAGCCGGAAUCGCUAGUAAUGGCGUAUCAGCUACGACGCCGUGAAUACGUUCCCGGGUCUUGUACACACCG